AGCGGCAUAAGCUCAAAUUUGAAAUCUGGCCCUCUCAGGGUCCGAGUUGUAAUUUGUAGAAGAUGCUUCGGGUGUGGUUCCGGUCUAAGUUCCUUGGAACAGGACGUCACAGAGGGUGAGAAUCCCGUACGUGACCGGUUACCUUCGCUCAUGUGAAGCUCUUUCGACGAGUCGAGUUGUUUGGGAAUGCAGCUCAAAAUGGGUGGUAAAUUUCAUCUAAAGCUAAAUAUUGGCCAGAGACCGAUAGCGCACAAGUAGAGUGAUCGAAAGAUGAAAAGCACUUUGGAAAGAGAGUUAAACAGUACGUGAAAUUGUUGAAAGGGAAGCGCUUGCAACCAGACUUGCGCCCGGUCGAUCAUCGGGGCUUCUGCCCCGUGCACUCGAUCGGGCUCAGGCCAGCAUCAGUUUGGGCGGCUGGAUAAAGGCCUAGGGAAUGUAGCCCCUCUCGGGGGGUGUUAUAGCCCUAGGUGCAAUGCAGCCUGCCCGGACUGAGGACCGCGCUUCGGCUAGGAUGCUGGCGUAAUGGUUGUAAGCGACCCGUCUUGAAACACGGACCAAGGAGUCUAACAUUUAUGCGAGUAUUUGGGUGUCAAACCCACAUGCGCAAUGAAAGUGAACGGAGGUAAGAACCCUCAAGGGUGCAUUAUCGACCGAUCCUGAUGUCUUCGGAUGGAUUUGAGUAAGAGCAUAACUGUUGGGACCCGAAAGAUGGUGAUCUAUACGUGAAUAGGGUGAAGCCAGAGGAAACUCUGGUGGAGGCUCGCAGCGGUUCUGACGUGCAAAUCGAUCGUCAAAUUUGCGUAUAGGGGCG
rnacentral:rRNA from 1 species